GAUUAACGCUGGCGGCGUGCAUAACACAUUCAAGUCGAACGGAGUGUAGCAAUACACUUAGUGGCGGACGGGUGAGUAACGCGUGAGUAAUCUACCUUUCGGUGCGGGAUAACAACCGGAAACAGUUGCUAAUACCGCAUAAGAUAGUACUACUGCAUGGUAGAGCUAUCAAAGGCUUGCUGCCGAAAGAUGAGCUUGCGUCCGAUUAGAUAGUUGGCGGGUAAAGGCCCACCAAGUCGACGAUCGGUAGCCGGACUGAGAGGUUGAACGGCCACAUUGGAACUGAGAUACGGUCCAG
rnacentral:rRNA from 1 species